UGUGUCUCUUGGAUUUAUAAGAUGGCUGCUCCUUUCUGUGCUACAGGGGAUGACUUCACACCCAUGGUGGAGGCUGAGCCCUUGCUGGAGACCAACCAAGCUGAGAUCAGGAUCUGAUAAACAUCUCAAAGCAGGGCCAAGUUUUGACUUUAUGGAUCGAACAUAUUCCCUUGUGCUGUGCUCUGGGGAGGCUUCAAUUUCAGUGUUUGAAAAUGUUCGAGAUGUAGAAGGUUAUGCUCAGCGCUAACAUUCUCGGAGCCUGGGAUGAGAGGACACAUGGAGUCACACACUGAAUGGCUAAGUAUUUACAAUUAUCACUCAUGCUAAAAAAACUUUUAAAUAAAAUUAUAUUGUAGCUAUACCUUCGUUUAUUGUUGUUGGUGCUGUCGAGUCGUCAGUCAUGGCUCCUCAUGACCCUGUGUACAGCAGAACAGAAUCCUGCCUGGUCUUUUUGUACUAUCCUUUGACCUUCCAACACUCUAUCAGAUAAUACUCCGCUGCUAUUCAAAGGAUUUUCAUGGCCAAUUUUUUUGGAAGUGGGUGGCCGGAUCCUUCUUCUGAGUCUAUCUUAGUCUGUAAACUCCACUGAAACCUGUCCACCAGGGGUAACACUGAUGGUACUUGAAAUCCCAGUAACAUAGCUUUCAGCAUCAUAGCACCACGCAGCCACUACAGUAUGACAACCCACAGAUGGGUGGUGUGGUGCCCCGACUGGGAAAUAAACUCCCAGCAGUGGCAGUGAGAGCACUGAAUCUUAGCCACUAGACCCCCAGGGCUGGCUCUAUACCAUCAUGGUGACAAAUAAUGUAUUUUUAUAUGCAUAAAUAUUUGUGAAAUAUUAAAAGUGACUUUAGUCACCUUUAGUUACUAAUUACUGUUACAUAUGUCUGGGUAUUCAGUGUGAUGAGGGUGGCAAUAUUUGGAUGUAAGUGACAAAAUAAAGACAUAAUUCAUAAAUCAAUAAAUUAUUUUUCUUGCCAUAAUUUCAGCAAAAUCUCUAAUUUUAUAAUAAAAAUUGUCACAUAAUUUAUGAUCUGUUGCAAUAAUGAC
rnacentral:lncRNA from 1 species